AGUGAACGCUGGCGGUAGGCCUAACACAUGCCAGUCGAACGGCAGCACAGUAAGAGCUUGCUCUUACGGGUGGCGAGUGGCGGACGGGUGAGGAAUACAUCGGAAUCUACUUUUUCGUGGGGGAUAACGUAGGGAAACUUACGCUAAUACCGCAUACGACCUACGGGUGAAAGCAGGGGAUCUUCGGACCUUGCGCGAUUGAAUGAGCCGAUGUCGGAUUAGCUAGUUGGCGGGGUAAAGGCCCACCAAGGCGACGAUCCGUAGCUGGUCUGAGAGGAUGAUCAGCCACACUGGAACUGAGACACGGUCGAGACUCCUACGGGAGGCAGCAGUGGGGAAUAUUGGACAAUGGGCGCAAGCCUGAUCCAGCCAUACCGCGUGGGUGAAGAAGGCCUUCGGGUUGUAAAGCCCUUUUGUUGGGAAAGAAAAGCAGCAGGUUAAUACCCCGCUGUUCUGACGGUACCCAAAGAAUAAGCACCGGCUAACUUCGUG
rnacentral:rRNA from 1 species